CAGCCGCCGCGGGAAUACGUAGGGGGCAAGCGUUGUCCGGAAUUAUUGGGCGUAAAGCGCGCGCAGGCGGUCAUGUAAGUCUGGUGUUUAAUCCCGGGGCUCAACCCCGGAUCGCACUGGAAACUGGGUGACUUGAGUGCAGAAGAGGAGAGUGGAAUUCCACGUGUAGCGGUGAAAUGCGUAGAGAUGUGGAGGAACACCAGUGGCGAAGGCGACUCUCUGGGCUGUAACUGACGCUGAGGCGCGAAAGCGUGGGGAGCAAACAGGAUUAGAUACCCCAGUAGUCCCUGUCUCUUAUACA
rnacentral:rRNA from 1 species